UAAAAUCAUUAAGCAACAAAAAAGGAGAGCUAUCCUCGUCCAAAGUCAAAAUCGAUGUCUUGGGAAGCUUUUAUUGGCGAGAACCCCGCUGCAAACGUACAGAACAUAAUUGAGGGGGGUCAGUCAAGUAGGGUAGGUAUCAGAGUGAUCAGCACAGGGGGAAAAGGGGAAAGUAAAAGUAAAAACACAGUGGAACCUAACGAUACUCAGAGGUGCAGCGUGGCUGUGCUUAGAAAAAGAAAGUAGGAGCGCCGUGGGACGUAGCGGUUCCAAGCGGAUCCAAGGCGAAGUAUGUGGAGUAGCCACGAUGAUCCGGCGGACGAGCGGAUAACAGCGGAAUAAAUAAUUGACAGCAGUAUAU